UUUUCAGUGUCGCAGCGAAAGCAGUAAACACACCGCCUGGGGAGUACGACCGCAAGGUUAAAACUCAAAUGAAUUGACGGGGACCCGCACAAGUAGUGGAGCAUGUGGUUUAAUUCGAAGAUACGCGCAGAACCUUACCAACACUUGACAUGUUCGUCGCGACUCUAAGAGAUUAGAGUUUUCGGUUCGGCCGGACGAAACACAGGUGCUGCAUGGCUGUCGUCAGCUCGUGUCGUGAGAUGUUGGGUUAAGUCCCGCAACGAGCGCAACCCUCACUUUUAGUUGCCAUCAUUUAGUUGGGCACUCUGAAAGAACUGCCAGUGAUAAGCUGGAGGAAGGUGGGGAUGACGUCAAGUCCUCAUGGCCCUUACGUGUUGGGCUACACACGUGCUACAAUGGUAUUUACAACAGGAAGCAAAACAGCGAUGUUAAGCAAAUCCUAAAAAGAUACCUCAGUUCGGAUUGCACUCUGCAACUCGAGUGCAUGAAGCUGGAAUUACUAGUAAUCGUGGAUCAGCGUGCCACGGUGAAUACGUUCCCGGGUCUUGUACACACCGCCCGUCACACCAUGGGAGUUGGUUCUACCUUAAGGCAAGGCGUAAAAACCUUGACCACGGUAUAGUCAGCGACUGGGGUGAAGUCGUAACAAGGUAGCCGUAGGGGAACCUGCGGCUGGAUUACCUCCUU
rnacentral:rRNA from 1 species